UACGAGAGGUCUCAAGCGUUGUUCGGGAUUCAUUGGGCGUAAAGGGCGCGUAGGCUGCAAAGGUAAGUCGGGUGGUGAAAUCUCAGGGCUCAACCCUGAAACUGCACUCGAUACUGCUCUGCUUGAGGACUGGAGAGGAGACUGGAAUUCACGGUGUAGCAGUGAAAUGCGUAGAUAUCGUGAGGAAGACCAGUGGCGAAGGCGGGUCU
rnacentral:rRNA from 1 species